CAGCAGCAGCCGCGGGAAUACGUAGGUGGCGAGCGUUGUCCGGAAUUAUUGGGCGUAAAGGGAGCGCAGGCGGACAUAUAAGUCCAUCUUAAAAGUGCGGGGCUCAACCCCGUGAGGGGAUGGAAACUGUAUGCCUUGAGUGCAGGAGAGGAAAGCGGAAUUCCCAGUGUAGCGGUGAAAUGCGUAGAUAUUGGGAGGAACACCAGUGGCGAAGGCGGCUUUCUGGACUGUAACUGACGCUGAGGCUCGAAAGCCAGGGGAGCGAACGGGAUUAGAUACCCGAGUAGUCCCUGUCUCUUAUACA
rnacentral:rRNA from 1 species